rnacentral:rRNA from 1 species
GGCCUAACACAUGCAAGUCGAGCGGUAGAGAGAAGCUUGCUUCUCUUGAGAGCGGCGGACGGGUGAGUAAUGCCUAGGAAUCUGCCUGGUAGUGGGGGAUAACGUUCGGAAACGGACGCUAAUACCGCAUACGUCCUACGGGAGAAAGCAGGGGACCUUCGGGCCUUGCGCUAUCAGAUGAGCCUAGGUCGGAUUAGCUAGUUGGUGAGGUAAUGGCUCACCAAGGCGACGAUCCGUAACUGGUCUGAGAGGAUGAUCAGUCACACUGGAACUGAGACACGGUCCAGACUCCUACGGGAGGCAGCAGUGGGGAAUAUUGGACAAUGGGCGAAAGCCUGAUCCAGCCAUGCCGCGUGUGUGAAGAAGGUCUUCGGAUUGUAAAGCACUUUAAGUUGGGAGGAAGGGCAGUUACCUAAUACGUGAUUGUUUUGACGUUACCGACAGAAUAAGCACCGGCUAACUCUGUGCCAGCAGCCGCGGUAAUACAGAGGGUGCAAGCGUUAAUCGGAAUUACUGGGCGUAAAGCGCGCGUAGGUGGUUAGUUAAGUUGGAUGUGAAAUCCCCGGGCUCAACCUGGGAACUGCAUUCAAAACUGACUGACUAGAGUAUGGUAGAGGGUGGUGGAAUUUCCUGUGUAGCGGUGAAAUGCGUAGAUAUAGGAAGGAACACCAGUGGCGAAGGCG